rnacentral:lncRNA from 1 species
CCAGCUGAGCAAACCGUCGAGUUCCAUGCUGUCAUCUGGAAUGCCUGCGCUGGGUGUCCCAUCUGGGAAAAGGAUGGAAAUCCCCAAGGGGGCAAUGCCAGCUUUCCCACAGCCACUCGGAGCAGACAUCCCCGCCUGCUCUGCAGCCCCUGAACUCACCGUUGCUGAUCCACGUCAGGAUAUCAUCGAUCUCCGCGCUGUCGACCGGGAUGUCUGCGCUGGAUGUCAUGUCUGGAAAAGGCAAGAAAAUCCCC